rnacentral:rRNA from 1 species
GACGAACGCUGGCGGCGUGCCUAACACAUGCAAGUCGAGCGAGGUAUUUAUACCUAGCGGCGGACGGGUGAGUAACACGUGGGUAACCUGCCUUUAGGUUCGGAAUAACUCAGGGAAACUUGUGCUAAUACCGAAUGUGCCCUUCGGGGGAAAGAUUUAUCGCCUUUAGAGCGGCCCGCGUCUGAUUAGCUAGUUGGUGAGGUAAAGGCUCAUCAAGGCUACGAUCAGUAGCUGGUCUGAGAGGAUGACCAGCCACAUUGGGACUGAGACACGGCCCAAACUCCUACGGGAGGCAGCAGUGGGGAAUCUUGCGCAAUGGGCGAAAGCCUGACGCAGCCAUGCCGCGUGGAUGAUGAAGGUCUUAGGAUUGUAAAAUCCUUUCACCGGUGAAGAUAAUGACUGUAGCCGGAGAAGAAGCCCCGGCUAACUUCGUGCCAGCCGCCGCAGUAACAC